rnacentral:miRNA from 1 species
AAGGCCCAACCAACCCCACUGGAA